AGAGUUUGAUCCUGGCUCAGGAUGAACGCUGGCGGCGUGUUUUAGGCAUGCAAGUCAAACGGGUAGGUGUAGCAAUACAUCUACCAGUGGCAAACGGGUGCGUAACACAUUGGUAACCUGCCUCUGUCUCAGGGAUAAUUCCGCGAAAGCGGGACUAAUACCUGAUGGUCUUCCCCCGCGCUGGCGGGGUCAGUAAAGGCGCAAGCCGGACAGAGAGGGACCUAUGGUCCAUCAGCUAGUUGGUGAGGUAACGGCUCACCAAGGCAAUGACGGAUAGCGGGCGUGAGAGCGCGACCCGCCUCAGUGGAACUGCGACACUGUCCACACUCCUACGGGAGGCUGCAGUCAAGAAUCUUCCCCAAUGGACGAAAGUCUGAGGGAGCGACGCCGCGUGCAGGAAGAAACCCCUCGGGGCGUAAACUGCUUUUCUCUGGGAAUAACUCUGAAGGUACCAGAGGAAUAAGGGGCUGCUAACUUCGUGCCAGCAGCAGCGGUAAUACGAAGGCCCCAAGCGUUAUCCGGAUUUAUUGGGCGUAAAGAGCUCAAAGGCGGUUUGGUACGUUCCUGGUUAAAUUGCGCCGCUCAACGGUGCAACUGCCGGGGAAACGGCCAGACUUGAGGGUGGGAGAGGCAAACGGAAUUGUCGGUGUAGUAGUAAAAUGCGUUCAUAUCGACAAGAACACCAAUAGCGAAGGCAGUUUGCUGGAACACUCCUGACGCUUCACGAGCGAAAGCGUGGGUAGCGAUACGGAUUAGAUACCCUGGUAGUCC
rnacentral:rRNA from 1 species